AGAAAGUGGAGCAAUCCAUGAGUAAAGUGGCGUACGGGUGAGUAACACGUGGGUAAUCUACCUUUUGGUGGGGAAUAACCCUGGGAAACCGGGGCUAAUACCGCAUAAGCUCGAAAGAGGAAAAGAGAAAUUUGCCGAAAGAGGAGCCCGCGGCUGAUUAGCUAGUUGGUGAGGUAAAGGCUCACCAAGGCGAAGAUCGGUAGCCGGCCUGAGAGGGCACACGGCCACACUGGCACUGAAACACGGGCCAGACUCCUACGGGAGGCAGCAGUGGGGAAUCUUGCACAAUGGGGGAAACCCUGAUGCAGCGACGCCGCGUGAGCGAUGAAGCCCUUCGGGGUGUAAAGCUCUUUCGGCCCGAACGAUAAUGACGGUACGGGAAGAAGAAGCUGCGGCUAACUACGUGCCAGCAGCCGCGGUAAUACGUAGGCAGCGAGCGUUGUUCGGAGUUACUGGGCGUAAAGCGUGCGUAGGCGGUUUUGUAAGUUUGGUGUGAAAUCUCCCGGCUCAACUGGGAGGGUGCGCCGAAAACUGCAAGGCUGGAGUGUGGGAGAGGUAGGCGGAAUUCCUGGUGUAGCGGUGAAAUGCGUAGAUAUCAGGAGGAACACCUGUGGUGUAGACGGCUUACUGGACCAUGACUGACGCUGAGGCACGAGAGCGUGGGGAGCAAACAGGAUUAGAUACCCUGGUAGUCCACGCCCUAAACGAUGCAUACUUGGUGUAGGCAGUUCAUUCUGUCUGUGCCGGAGCUAACGCGUUAA
rnacentral:rRNA from 1 species